GAUGAACGCUAGCUACAGGCUUAACACAUGCAAGUCGAGGGGAAACGAUAGAGAAAGCUUGCUUUUUCUAGGCGUCGACCGGCGCACGGGUGAGUAGCGCGUAUCCAACCUGCCCACCACUUGGGGAUAACCUUGCGAAAGUAAGACUAAUACCCAAUGAGAUCUCUAGAAGACAUCUGAAAGGGAUUAAAGAUUUAUCGGUGAUGGAUGGGGAUGCGUCUGAUUAGCUUGUUGGCGGGGUAACGGCCCACCAAGGCGACGAUCAGUAGGGGGUCUGGUGGGAAGGUCCCCCACAUGGGAACUGAGACACGGACCAAACUCCUACGGGAGGCAGCAGUGAGGAAUAUUGGUCAAUGGGCGAGAGCCUGAACCAGCCAAGUAGCGUGCAGGAGGACGGCCCUAUGGGUUGUAAACUGCUUUUAUAAGGGAAUAAAGUGAGUCUCGUGAGACUUUUUGCAUGUACCUUAUGAAUAAGGACCGGCUAAUUCCGUGCCAGCCGCCGCAGUAA
rnacentral:rRNA from 1 species